GAUUAAGAGGUGAGUUGUGGAGUUGAAAGGGAGCUGCUUCUUUGGGCCUGACCUCUUUUGGGAUAUUACAUACUGCUAUUUCUUUUUUACCUUCUCCCUGGCAAGAAACGGAUCAUUGAAAAAGGGAAUUGGCACGCAAAGACAAAAAUGCAACAAAAAUAGCAUUUGAUAAACCCGGAAGUGGAACUUGAAUGCAGCCAGGGAACUUUCUGAAGAUGAACUUACGACGUAAAGGAGGAACGUAGUUGUGACGAAAAGGAUGAAACUAUCCCAGCGGAGAUGACGCCAGUGAAAAGAAGAAAACACUGUGCUAGAGGAAUUCUUAGAGCUGUUUCACAAUACUGAAAGCACAAAGGAAAAUAUGUUGGGAAUGGACUGAAAUUUAGAAGGAGAAUUGGCCAAGGCAUAGAAAAGAUGCUCUCCCCAUGGUUGCACUCUGAGAAAAAGAAAGAGAAGACUGUUUCUGAUCAUGAAGGGCACAUGGCUUUGAUGUGAGAAAAUGUCAAGAGGUCCUAGAUUGGACAUGCAGAGCAGGGACUGGACUUCCACACUGCUGAGCUGCCCUUGCAUGCCAGUCUGCUAGAGCCAAAUCUGCAAAGCGAUGUCCAUUUUCCUGCUCUGCUCAGGACUUGGGUGACGUAAGUGGCAGAGUGGAGUCCUUUGCAGAUCACACAGGAAGCUAUUGCCUACUCUGUGAUUGUGUCAUUUUGUGCAAGACAAGCCAUUGACCUGUCUUGGAUUCUUCCUUGAUUCUGAGAAUUGUAGAAAGCAAAGUCUUUCAGGAAAAAGAUGACAAAACUGAGAUUCAGAGAAGUAAAGAAAUUUACCUGAGUUCACACAAGUAGGAAGCGGUGGGACUUGGAUUUUACAAAGAAUCUUGUGGACUCUGUGUUCAUGAAGCUAAUGAUAAAUUUUCCCUGAGGUGCAGAACAUACUCUCUCUUGAUGUCCUAGCUGCUCAGUAAAUAUCUAUGAAGGGCAAUGGCUACCUCUUGGGCAGCUUUCCUGAUUAUGACCUGGCAGAGUACCGAUGAAUCUUUGUUUCUAUUUGGAUGCUGACAUCAUAUUUGGAGUCCGGCGUGGGACGACUAUCAUAAUAGUAAAUUAUAGUUAUCUUUGCCUUUGUAUUUUCAAAGAAAUUUUAUAUUUACCAUUGCUUUCUGAGACAAUUUGAUGAAGUACAAAGAGCAUAGGUUUAUAGGCCACAUGAUUUGCUGCAGCAGCUGCCAUGUAUCUCUGGAGAGAUACACGGGGCCAACGAGGUCAUAUAAAUGAUAGUCCCCACAGUUCUUACCAAAUUAAGAACUUCUGAAGGUCACUUGAAGUCUCUGAGCCUUGUUGGCUUCCUUGAUAAAGUAAAGGAGCAAGUUAGUAACUGGAAAGUCUUUAACCUUCUCAUAGGAAUCUUCCACCAUUAUAAACAUUGGUAGAUAACUGGAGUCAUGUACCGUUUUGUUGAACUAGAGCACAUCGGUAAAACAGUGGCCUGGCUGACAGGACAAGCAUGUGAUCAGUCCCACACUUAUCCAUCCUGUUGCGCUUUCUUCUGUGUUAAAGGAUGAUGGGCCCAUUGCGACCUCUGAGGAACUCCCUGUGGUCCUGAGACAAGGACAGUCACUGCUGAACGCAAAUAACUUGAGGUUGGAGAACAGGAAAUCCAGCUGCUCCCAGAGGACCACUGAUCCUCUAACAGGAACUUCUCUGGAUGUAAGGGAUGUACGAGCUUCUUGCAUCUGUGAAACUGCACAGUUCAGGCUUUCCAGAGAAGGCAGGCUGGUCACUCAUCUAGGGGUAGAGCUAUGGAGAAGUCUAUGCUUUGCAUUUUCUGUCAGUCCUUUGAAACCAGUGGUUCUUAUUUUGAGCCAUCUACUUAGAAUUAUUAAGAAGAAGCCUGGGACUUCAUUCUCAGAAAUCUCGAUUCUUUAGCUAUUGAAGAGUUGGUCCAUGGCAUCUGAAUUUUUAAUAAGAGCCAAAGAGAAUUCCGAUGUGGUGAGCUGGGAUGAAUUCUGAGAGCCUUGUGAUAACUGCCCCUGCCUCAGACUGCCUAAGAGCUAGUGUUCCUAGAAACAUUCUCAAAAGUAGUAUCAUCUUUCUCAGUUUGAAUCCAAAGAAAAAACUGAGGCUCCCUAUCAAACAAAUUCUGAAUCCACUUGGCCGGCUUCUGAGCCUGCCACCACCGCUGAGUAUUCAGCUUCCAGUUUACCAGUGGCAAGAUGCCUCCCUUCCCACAGGUAUGGGCAUUCAUAAGCUGCCGGUGCGGUAGAAGAGCUGUCAAAGAACGGGCUGGACGUAGGGUGACCACUCCUGGUAUGAUCUGAAACAGCAGCAUCAAAAGAGUAACUACAAAGGGAAGUAGAAAUCAGAGCCAAGAAAAUGGUGUUGAGCAGCAGACCUGAGAACAGUGCGAUGCUAUCAGCAGAGAGCAGCUCAGGGCCUCAGCGGAAUGGCUCCUCAGAGGCAGGACUGUGCAGUGGAGCUCUGUGGGAUGCAGGCUGUGAAUAGGUGACUGCGUUGCUCUUAUCAAAUACCGGCCAUGUACACUAAACACAUGAUAUAAGAUAAUCUUUACAGACAUUCACUGAUUACACAGAGAUCUGAGAAAUAAAAUCUUCACAGAUGAUGAAAAUUGUCCAUCUUGUUUCUGAGGACCAUCUUUGACAAGGACUUUACAUGAACAUAAUGAAGUACGCUUUCUUUGUAGUUUUUAUUAGUAAUGUUCUUUAUUGAAAUAUUACUUAGAUUAGGGAGUAGAAAAUGUGAGUGCCAAAUACUACAUAUUUUAAAUUUGGUGAAUUAUAAGCUGUUUCUAUUAUAUAUUCAUCAUAGUUUCAGGAAUCCUUUAAUAAUGUACAAAUUAUUCUUAGAACAAAAUCAAGGCAAGGACUGCAUUUGAUCCCUAGCCUGCAGUUUGCAGAUCUUCCUAAAUGUUAUCCCUACACUAAUAGAAAUAUUAUUUUUGUUUACAUUGCGCUUGAUAUUUUCUGGUAGGAAAUGUAGUUCCUUAGGGAAAAAAAUCACAGUAAUAUAAUUUCCCCAAUGAUGCCUCAGCUCCUUUAUUAUGUACUUACAAAGGAUUAAGUCCUCAGUAUAAGAAGUGGAAUUAUCUAAAUUUGCAUCCUCCUGUGGCCAGCUAAUAUCAAGCCGGUAAAUAAAGAGCUGAAUUUCAGUUUUAUUUCAUUUGACAAAUGCUGGUGUGAUGGUGAUCUGGCUUUCUUGAGCUCUGAUUUUAAAACUUAGCAUAUUAUAGCUAACUUUCCACAGAUAACAUACUCUAAAUUAUCUUAAUGACCUCGUUUACCAGUUCUACGCUGAGAUUUAUCUCAGUUCAGGGAGACUGUGAACAUAAGGUAUCCCAGACUAUCAGUGACACUGCUGCAACAGUUGAGCGUAGUAAGAUUUCAUAAAGGCCAAAUGAUGCCCCAGUUAGAUAGAACUUUAAGUAAAGGAAAGCUUUGGUUGGAUAUGAUAUCCUCAUGUCACUCUUGAUAUUUCUAGUGAUAACUACAAAGCUCCUGUAAUAAAUAUUCUCAUAGAGUACAAAAGGUUUGACUUCAGCCAAAGAACAUUUUGAUCACAUUCAGUUAAUGUUUGAAUUUUGAGGAUUCCCUAUCUACUUGCAAAUUUGCACAUACUCUCUCGUGUUAUGAACAUUGUGUAUGCAAAUUAAAUUCACCUCUGUGUGUUACUGGGAGACUUAAUAGUGGUCAUUAUAAAAAUUAUGAAGGUCAGGAACAAAGUAGUUGCCAUCGGGUUAGAGAGUCUGUGCUGGUCCAUGGCCACUGUAACAUUCAGAGAAUGGUGCCCCUUUGUGUGAGCAGAUGAGACCCAGUGGCAGGGUACGUGCUCUUUCCAAUGGUGACCGAUUGGAUUUCAGCCCAGCUGAGCACUGCUGUUUAGGAUUUUGUGCCUGUCUGGAGAAAGUGAGAAGAGAUAAGACAUAUCGAAGUAAUGUCCAGUGAAAUCUAGGCAUCAAGGAUUGCUUCCUAACUUCUGUCUAUGGUGACUGUUGUAUAAAACAAUAUCUGAUGUAGUGAGCCUUUCACAACAAUCUCAAAAACUGAAACUCACCUUUGAAAACCAUUGGACCAGAAGAAGCAAUGGUAGCCCUGGGAGUAGAUGCAGAUGCCCAAGAUGAGUUCCCGGUGAUAAGUAGAAAAUUGGGGACUGCAACUUCCUCUUUCCUGGGUGUGUUACUGGGCGCCAUAGAUCUGAAUCCACAGUGCCCCCUACUGCCUCAUGACAUGGGGCAUUUAUUUUGUGAUUGCUAAGUGUUGGUUCCUUACCAUUCUUCCCCAAGUCAAGGGUGGCAGAAGCAGAUGAGAAUUAAAAGCAAUGCUCCUCAUCUUUGUGGAGCUAAUUCCCAAAUGAGGAAGCAAGGUUGCUGGGCAGCACACCGCUACUUAGUGACAUGGAUACGGCUGAAUCUCUUUAUUACUAGUUUAACUUUCUCACAGAGUCAUAGAGACAUUUUGUCUCUAGGAGUUCUGGGUAUGGUUUUCUGCUGCAUUUGGGAUGAAGCUCAACUUGCAAAGGGGCUUAGAGGAACAUAAAUUAAGUUCAGAUUUUUGAGAGUAGAGGGAAGGGGACAAGAAAUACUUAGUGGGAAAGAGUGUACAUUCAGACAUAAGAAUCAAGUGGAAUUCAAACAUGGCAAGAGAAGAAACUGACAUUAUCUCUCAUUUCCAAGGCUCCAAAUUCCCAAAAGCACAACGGUGUAUUAUCCUAUCAGUUGGGGUUUCUUAUAUUGAGUCAGACUUUCUGUUUGCUUGAAGCCUGAUUACUAUAAUACUUGAUCUGAUUCUUUUCAUCUGGGGUCCACAGACUUAGGCAUAGAAGAGCAGCUGGUAUUUUUGUGCUCUAGUGAUGGAGAGGUCUUUAGGUAUUUUUAAUUUGAAGCCUACAAACACAUGGCAAAUAAUUCUCAAUCAGUGUCCUAGAGAUCUCAAUUAGGCUGGUGUUUUAUGUGGUUGUAUUACAAAGGGAUUUAAGGACAGUUUUCACUGCAUACUUUCCCUAUAAUUGCUGAGCUUAAAUGCAUCCCUUGAACAAGUGGUACAACAUUCUUCGAGACGGGCUAGUGAUGAAAUAUUAAGUCAUUCUGGGAGUUAGCUUGAUGAUAGUUAUGUAAUGUGUGAUUUGUGGCAAUGAAAAUGUUAAAGGGCCAAUUACUGCAUCAUUAUGGACAUAUGAUACAUCAACCUAACGAUACAUCACUCCCUUUGUAGUGUUCAUAUGUAUUUAAAUGAGGACAUAAAUUGUCAGUACUGUCAAGAGUAUGUUGCAUAUCUGCCUCAGCCAGCAGUUACAGGGUGGAGAUACAGGUGGGCCAUGGAGCAGGGAGGCCAAUGAAGUGAACCCGGCCACUUUUACUCAGAUUCCAUUCCUUGUUGGGUCACCUUGGUGAGUUAACUGUUCACUAAGCUCAAAUUCUUUACUGUAGAAUGAAUGUCUUAGAGUUGUGUGUGUCUGCAGUGGAGGGGGUUAGUGGUUAAACCAUACUAUGAGGUACACUGUAAGUGUGUGGUGAUAGGUUCCCUAUUGUCACUGGGCUUGUUACCCUCUUAGACUCCAUGUAUCCAGAAUUUAAAAUGGAAAUAACUUUUCCUGAGAGUAUUUUUAACGUCGUAAAUCUGACUUCUUUCUGGAAGGCUGAAUAAAAUGCACCAUCUUUAAGAUUAAGUAUAUCUCAACCAGGAAUCAAGUACUUAACUUGCCUACUUCUGCCACUCAGCUCACAUUCCAUCUGUGGCCAGGUUUUUCUUUUCUGCCUCCAGAAAGAUCUUUAUUCAGGAGCCCUCAAAUUGAACCACCUUCAUUCUUUCACCAGGCCAGGAUUCUGACACCAAAUUCACUGAUUCCAAUGCUGAAAAUUCUGAAAUAAAGGAGUUUUGAGAAGUCUCUUUUGUUUCUCCAGGCUGAGCCUGGAAGGCCUCGUCAAUUGAAUGCGGACAGAAUAUAAGACACUAGUUGAUUCAAUCAGACUAGAGUGAGGGCUAUUUGGGAUCAUCCCAACCAUAUGGUCAUGUUCACUCCUGCCACUAUUGGAGCUCACCAUGCAUCUACCUAUGGGUGGACCUUUGUUCUCACCAUGUGGUAGCCAGCUCUUCUGUCUGCCCAUCGACGGACCUUGACCUUGCUGGCUCUGAGUACUUGAGAAAUCCCACUUUGUGACCCGUUUCUUCUGGAUAUCAUCCCUUCCUCUUGAACUUUGGGACACUCAGAUUUCAGGCUGCCAGAAAGAUGAAGAGGGAGCAGCUACAGGAAAUCGAGGAGCAACAAAUCAAAAUAGGAAGACAAAACCCAGGAGACUCUGGCAUCAAGAACUCAAGUGAAGGAAGUAUUUCAGGAAUGAGGGAGGGGCCCAUGGUAUCAAAUGUUGCUUACUUAAAGAGUGAGAUGGAGACUAAAGUUAUUUCAUGAGAUUAGCAAUAUUGAUUUAGUCACUUUAAAACAUUGGUUUCAUUCUUAGAAAAUCUCUGUGGAGGUUGUUAUUAAAGUUUGUUUGUUAGGGAGAGUAUUUAUCUCCCUCCCUCACUGCUGUCCUUCCACAUUUUCUUUUCCUUUCUUCCUUUUCUUCUUCCUUCCUUUAUUCCCUUCCUUCCUUUUCCAAGUGAAGUUCUUAAGAUUCAGGAUACACAACUUUUCAGAUGUAUUCAGAUGGAAAGUGACAUACUUUAGACCUGAACCUUUCCCCCAUGAUCUCUGCUGUCAGAUAUUUACAAUUUAAUUUGCCUGUCACAGAUCUCCUUUUACUAGAUAAAUCUAUUUUAAGAUUUAUUACAUAUUGCAAGCUUAAAUUUUCUUCCACUUUCAUGGAUUUUAUGUGUCAGGAAUCUGAUAGGGUAAUAAUUUUAGGAAAUUUCUAUCCUAUCUGAGAGUAAAGCAAAGCCUUAGUGCAUUGCUUCCAGCACUCAGUCCUCCUAGGCAUCACUGAGUAUUUUGUGGAAAGUAGAAUGGGAAGGGAAAACUGUGGCAGGAAGAAGAUUCACGGGAAUCCUUUCCAUCAUUAUAGUUGACUGAGCUUCCCUGAGGAGAUUUCUGAGAAGGUUGACAUGUGCUUGACAACUCAGGGGUUAAAGCAAUUCCGCAGGCAGCUGAUAAUUCUGGAACAAAUGAACUCAAAGGUUUUUGAGAGGUGGGUAUAGAGUCUGAUUUAGCUGUUUCUGUUUUCGGCAAACAAGCACUUGUUUGGAAAUGAUAUCAAGGCCAUCUCAUUCUAUUUACUGCCUCCUUAGUUUAAAAUUAUCCUAAGCAUCUUUGAAGAAUAAUGCACAUACAGAAAAUCCAUGUGCAGUAUUAAAAUAGUAACAUUAAGGUAUUAAUGUCUAGUGUUUCUCUUUUGCAACCCAAAGUUUAAUGUCUGAAGGACAAAACAUGACAAUGAAAAUAUCCCAAGAAUAGAUGGCGUCACUGAUGAAUGCUACCAUUUAAGAAGAACUAAUACCGGUUUAUCUCAAAGUCUUCCAAACUCAUUUUAUGAGGCUAGAGGGAAGAAUCCUUUCAAACUGAUUUCAUGAGGCCAGCAUUACCAAAAUACCAAAAUCAGACAAAAACAACAAUAAAAGAAAGCCAUAGGUCAGUAUCCAUCAUAGAAAUAGAUAUAAAAAUCUUCAACAAAGUAUUAGCAAAUCAAAUUAAAUAGCUUAUUAAAAUAUCACUUACCAUCAUCAAGUGGGAUUUAUUCUGAGGAUAUGAAAUGAUUCAAUAUAUACAAAUUAGUAAAUACAGUUCCACAUCAAUGGAAUGGUGGACGAAAACAAUUUGAUCAUUUCUAUAAAUGCAGAAAGAGCUGGAUAAAAUUUAACAUUUUUUCAUGAUAAAAAAGUCUCAACAGAGUAGGAAUAGAAAAAUAUACUUCAACAAAAUAAAGGCCACAUAGCACAAGCCCAUGACCAACUUCUUCUUUGGUAAAAAAUUGAAAAUUUUUCCUCUAGAACUAGGAAAAAAUCAAGAACAUUCAUACUUGUCACUUCUACUCAAAAUAGUACUAGAAGUCCUAGCCAAAGCAAUUUGGCAAGAGAAAGAAAUGAAAGCCAUCCAGGGCCUGAGGAUAUGGUUUAGUGGUAAUAUACCUGUCUAUCAUGUAUGAGGCCAUAGGCUUGGUGUUCAACACCACACACAGAAACAGACAAUCAGACACACAUCCAAAUUGAAAGAGAAGAAGUUAACUGGUUUUGUUUGGCAAUGAUAUGACCUAAUCUAUAGAAAACCUUAAAGGCAACACCAAAAAAUUGUGAAACUAAUGACUAAACUUAAUAAAGUUGCAAGAUACAAAAUAGAUUCAAGAAAGUCUUUAAUAUUGCUAUCCACUAAUAAUGAUCAGUCUGAAAAACAGAAACCUAGAAAAUGAUUUCAUUUAUAAUGCAUAUAGAUGAAUUAUUUUGAAAAAAUUUAACCAAAGAAAUGAAGGCUUAUAUAUCCAAAAUUAUAAAACAUUUAUAAAAGAAGUUGAAGAAGGCGUAAAUAAGUGGAAAGACACUUCUGUGAAUUUAAAGGAUUAAUACUGUUAAAAUAUCCAUAUUACUCAAAGCUAUAUACAUAUUCAGUGAAAUCCUAUCAAAAUUUUAAUAGCACUCCUCACAGAAGUAGGAAAAUAAUCUUAAAAUUUAUGUGAAACUAUAAAAUCUCCAUUAGUUAAAGAAAUCUUGAGAAAAGAUGAAGACAUAUUACCUCAUUUCAAAAUGAACUAUGAAGUUCCAGUAAUUAAAACAGCAAAAUACUGAGUGUUGUGAGGUACUCCAGUAUUUCCAGCACUGUUGGAGACUAAGCAGGAGGACUAUUAAAUUUGAGGCCAGCUUGGGCAGCUUAGUGAGGCUCUGUCUCAUAAAAAGAAAAUGCAUGAGGGUGCUCUCAGUCUCCAGUGCUAUAAACAAAAAAGGCCAAGGGCAGGGUAUGACAGGACAGGGCAAGGCAAAAUAAGGUAACACAAUACCACAGCACACCACACAACCCAACACCUUAACAUACCACACAACACAACACCACACCACACAAUACAACAUCACAGCAAGGUGCUAACAUAGAAACAGGCACACAGACUAAAGAAAGAGAAUCAACAGCCCAGAAAUAGAUACACACAUUAUUUAUGGUGAAUUAGAUUUUGUUUAGCAAAAAUAGAUUCCUUAAUAACUGGUAUUUGGAAAACUAGAUAUUACAAAAAAGAGAAUGAAAUUUGAUCCUUAUUUCCUUAUCUCACACUACACACAACUCACAAUGGAUAAAGACAGUGGACCUGAAUGACUAGAACAAAUAAAGAAUUGAAAAAAAAUCAGAUCCUCCAAAUUUUAAGACUCAAUAAAAAAGAUAUCUGAGAUGAAUACACAGUUCUCGGAUGAAGAAAUACAAAUGGCAAAUAAAUACGUGAAAAACUGUUCCACAUCAUUUGUCAUUCGAGAAAUGCAAAUUAAAAUAACAUUAAGAAUCCAUCUCACUUCAGAAAGAGUUGCUACCAUAAAGAAGAAAUCCACCGAUAGCAAAUGCUGGUAGGGCUGAUGGGUAAAAGGAACCCUUCUCUACUGUUGGUGGAAGUGUAGAUUGGUACAACCACUAUGGAAAUCAGUGUGGAGAUUCCAAGAAAACUAGAAUUAAAUGUCUUAUUUGAUCCAGCUAUUCCUCUUCUAGGGGACAUCUUCCUGGAAGAAUAAAAUAUAUCAUACUAUGGCAACGUAUGAACAUCUACGUUUAUAUGUUUAUAGCAGCACAGUUUGUAAAUGCUAAAUCUUGAAAAUAAUCCAAAUUUUUAUCAGUCAAUAUCUGGAUAAAUAAAGUCGUGGGUUUUUUUUUUUAUAUAUACAACAGAGUACUUCUCAGCCACAAAGAAGGAUGAACUUGAGACAUUUCUAGGUAAAUGAAUGCACCUUGAGAUCAUAUUCUUAAGUGAAAUAAAAUUGGACACCAAUGUGUAAAUAUUCUAUUGUUUCCCUGGUGUGAGAAACUGAAAGAGUAAUUAAGGACCAAAAAUGUAUACUAGAUAUUGUGAAAUAGGAAGAAAUCGUUCAAAAGGAAAAAGUAUCUAGGGAGGGUGAAAAGGAAAAGAAAAGAAAAAAAAAAGAUUAAAAGAAAGGUGAAAUGGAAACAAAGUUUUGUAAAUAAGGAAAGGAACAGGGUUGAAGGGAGGACAGUGGAUUUGGAAAAAAAAAAAAAGAAAAAUCAAGAUGUAUCAUAUACAGGUAUGAAUUCCCUAUGGUGAAU